rnacentral:rRNA from 1 species
GCAUAUCAAUAAGCGGAGGAAAAGAAACCAACAGGGAUUGCCCCAGUAACGGCGAGUGAAGCGGCAACAGCUCAAAUUUGAAAUCUGGCCCCUAGGGCCCGAGUUGUAAUUUGCAGAGGAUGCUUUUGGCGAGGUGCCUUCCGAGUUCCCUGGAACGGGACGCCAUAGAGGGUGAGAGCCCCGUCUGGUUGGAUGCCGAGCCUCUGUAAAGCUCCUUCGACGAGUCGAGUAGUUUGGGAAUGCUGCUCUAAAUGGGAGGUAUAUGUCUUCUAAAGCUAAAUACCGGCCAGAGACCGAUAGCGCACAAGUAGAGUGAUCGAAAGAUGAAAAGCACUUUGAAAAGAGGGUUAAAUAGUACGUGAAAUUGUUGAAAGGGAAGCGCUUAUGACCAGACUUGGACCCGGUGAAUCAUCCAGCGUUCUCGCUGGUGCACUUUGCCGGGCUCAGGCCAGCAUCAGUUUGCCUUGGGGGAUAAAGGCUUUGGGAAUGUGGCUCCCUCGGGAGUGUUAUAGCCCAUUGCACAAUACCCUGGGGCGGACUGAGGUUCGCGCAUCUGCAAGGAUGCUGGCGUAAUGGUCAUCAGCGACCCGUCUUGAAACACGGACCAAGGAGUCGUCUUCGUAUGCGAGUGUUCGGGUGUAAAACCCCUACGCGUAAUGAAAGUGAACGCAGGUGAGAGCUUCGGCGCAUCAUCGACCGAUCCUGAUGUUCUCGGAUGGAUUUGAGUAAGAGCAUACGGGGCCGGACCCGAAAGAAGGUGAACUAUGCCUGUAUAGGGUGAAGCCAGAGGAAACUCUGGUGGAGGCUCGCAGCGGUUCUGACGUGCAAAUCGAUCGUCAAAUAUGGGCAUGGGGGCGAAAGACUAAUCGAACCUUCUAGUAGC